rnacentral:rRNA from 1 species
GACAGAGGGUGCAAACGUUGUUCGGAAUUACUGGGCGUAAAGCGCACGUAGGCGGAUCGUUAAGUCGGGGGUGAAAUCCUGGAGCUCAACUCCAGAACUGCCUUCGAUACUGGCGAUCUCGAGUCCGGAAGAGGUGAGUGGAACUCCUAGUGUAGAGGUGGAAUUCGUAGAUAUUAGGAAGAACACCAGUGGCGAAGGCGACUCACUGGUCCGGUACUGACGCUGAGGUGCGAAAGCGUGGGGGAGCAAACAGG